GCACCUAGUUUACACCUAGAAGAUUUCACACAAAAUGACCACUUUGAAACUAAACAUAGCUCAAAAUAUACUAUAUAUAUAUAUACAUAUAUAUUACCACCCCAAUAACAUUAAAAUAAAACAUUCAUAACAAUUAAAAGUAUAGGUGAUAGAAAUUUUACAUGGCGCUAUAGAGAAA
rnacentral:rRNA from 1 species